rnacentral:rRNA from 1 species
AGGAUGAACGCUGGCGGCGUGCCUAACACAUGCAAGUCGAACGUCCUGUCUCGCAAGAGGCAGGGAGUGGCGGACGGGUGAGUACCACGUGGGUUAUCUACCGUGAGGUGAGGAAUACCGGCGAGAAAUCGCCGACAAGACCGCAUAGGCUCGAUGCAAGUCGAGCAAAGCUCGCUCGCAAGAGGGAGCGCCACACGAGGAGCCUGCGCCCGAUUAGCUAGCUGGUGGAGUAACGGUUCACCAGGGCGACGAUCGGUAGCUGGUCUGAGAGGACGAUCAGCCACACUGGGAUUGAGAACGGCCCAGACUCCUACGGGGGGCAGCAGUGAGGAAUUUCGUCAAUGGGGCAACCCUGAACGAGCAACGCCGCGUGCAGGAAGAAGGUUUCGGAUCGUAAACUGCUUUUCUCGGGAAGAGAACGGACGGUACCCGAGGAGAAGCCCGGCUAACUACGUGCCAGCAGCCGC